rnacentral:rRNA from 1 species
GUACCGUGGCAAGCGUUGUCCGGAUUUAUUGGGUUUAAAGGGUGCGUAGGCGGCCCUGUAAGUCAGUGGUGAAAUAUCUCAGCUUAACUGAGAGGGUGCCAUUGAUACUGCGGGGCUUGAGUACAGAUGAGGUAGGCGGAAUUGACGGUGUAGCGGUGAAAUGCAUAGAUAUCGUCAAGAACACCGAUAGCGAAGGCAGCUUACCAAGCUGUAACUGACGCUGAGGCACGAAAGUGUGGGGAUCAAACAGGAUUAGAUACCCUGGUAGUCCACACUGUAAACGUUGAUGACUCGAUGUUGGCGAUACACAGCCAGCGUCCAAGAGCAAUCGUUAAGUCAUCCACCUGGGGAGUACGCCGGCAACGGUG